UGUGUGUGAGUGUGUGUAUGCAGGAAAUUAUCUUCCCAUUUCUCACUCUCUCUUCCCUCGACACAGCACACCCCUUUUCUCACUCUCUCAUUCGGCUAUCUCUCUACUCUCUCCCGAAAUUCUCUCUCUCUCACUCUCUCAACCAAAAAUCCACCAAAACCAAUCAAAACCUACACAAACCAACCUCCAAUUCGUCUUCCGCACGGGGUUCAAGCCUUGAAUUUCGUGGGUUUCGCUUGGAGGAUGCGUAUUUCGGUUGAUUUUGAAGUUUUGGAGGCUAGGGCUUGAUUAAUCUUUCGGGGGUUUUGCUCAAACCCUUUCGGUGCAAAUCAAAGGCAUUGAUGUGGGUGCUUUGCAUGCCUGACAUGAAGCAAUUAUUUUGAAAGCUUGCAUGAGGAAUUACUCGAUCAUCAUCUUUUGGGAACAAACUUUAAUUUUAUUGGCCCUUGCAGCCUUAGUAUGAUUGUAAAACUCAUAACUUAAUUCACUCUUUCGUUUGGUUAUAGUGCCUGAGGCCAUGGUGCCGGCUAUGUACCCUUUGUAACUAUGACAGUUUAUGGAACAUAUAAGGGAAAUCUUUUGGGUAAUUAUGUACGGAUAAUGUGGAGACGUUAUUUAUGAAACUUGCAUUGUUUUUGUUU